GCCAGAGUCCGAGAACACUUCAAUUACAUAAACUACUAAAACUUCGCUGUGUUUAAGGUAAUCCAAGUUGGGGUAGCAACUGAAAGCUUAGUGAGGAAGAGCACACAUCUGAAAUCCAG